GCCGGGUAUGGUGGCGUGUGCCUGUAAUUCCAGCUACACGGAGGCUGAGGCAUGAGAAUUGCUUGAACCCAGGAGGCGGAGGUUGCAGUGAGCCGAGAUCAUGCCACUGCAUUCCAGCCUGGGUGAUAGAGCAAGACUCUGUCUCAA
ensembl:misc_RNA Metazoa_SRP Metazoan signal recognition particle RNA